rnacentral:lncRNA from 10 species
CUUGAAAGGAGGUAGUAGUCCAGAAAAAGAUUUUGUUUUGCUUUAUGAAAAGGAAGCAGGAGGAGAAAGUAUUAUUUUUUGUCUUUAGAUUUACCAUGAGCAUGUGAUGCUUAGGCUACGGCAGCCAUCUUGGUACCCUGAGAAGAGUCACCCUAAGAGAAGAUGCCAGCAUUCUAGGAAAAGCAGGGCGGGGAUGGAGAAAAAAUCCAGGGCCUGGAUGACAUUGCUGAGCUGCUGAGUUAACCUAGAACUAUCCUAACUCAAGAUUUCUCUUUAUAAGGAGUAACACAGGCAUGUGGAGAAUUUCUCAGAGUAUUUCCGCAGCAACCAACUGGCAUGAAGAAUACUUUGCUGAAACA